UUCCCUGCCAGAGCCAGGCCCACUGAGCAGGAUAAACAGCCUGGAGGCCCGGCCCAUGCAGGGCCUGCCUCUGUUCAGGCCUGCUGGAGGCAGCACAGGGUAGCAGAAAAAGCCACAGGACACAGGGUUCAGAGGCCCUGUGCUUACAUCACCUGCGCAGUGGCUUCAGUGAAAGUCCUGACUUCUGUAAGACUGUUUCCUCAUCUGAAAAAUGGAGAUCUAAUUGCCACUGGGUCCAAAUUCUUUGCAUGGCAUUCAAAGCUCUUCCCAUCUGGCCACCGCAAGAUCACUGAUUCAUGUUUAUUGAGCACCUGCCAUGUACAAACUCCUGGGAUCUGUGGGAAGCCGGAUGACUCUGCCAGCCCCGCCAUUCAUACAGACUGCAGGAGUGAGAGGAGGAGUCCGGAAUUGAAUUUUGAUAGAGGCUGUCCUUUUUUCUUGGAUGGCUUCCUGCACCUUGCCUCGCUUCAGCACUUCUUUGGAUUUUUAACAUGAGUCUCAAUAGUCCCAUCUUUGAAAUGAAGAGUUAGACAGUUGGUCUCCACAAUGCUUUCCAGCUUCAGUACUCCCGGAUCCCAUGCCUGAAGGGGACACAGAGCAGAUUCCUCCAGAAGAUGAGCCACCCCACGCUCAAACUUUUCUUUAUAAUCAGUUCAUACAUCAUCAACUUGAUGAGCCUGGAGCAGGAAAGAGUCUUCUCCCAGGGCUCCGCAGCAGACGUAUCAAACCCUUAACAACAGUGAUGGUGAGGCUGGUGGGAAAAGUCAGAGCAGCAGACAACUUCUGCAACGUGCCAGGACCAAAGUUGAUGACAUUUAUUUUUCCCAGAGACAACAAGCCUUGCCUAAAACCCAUGUUUUCAUAUGAAUAAAGGCACUUUUGGGUUUUCAUGACGGCCAAAAUCUCUGUUUUUACCUUAGAAGCCAAUAUUCAGUUGGGAUGUUCAAGCCUGGCCAAAAUUCAGUGAAGAAGUGUGAAGAAAGUGAAGAUUCCUAUGGCCAGGAUUCUCAC